GGUUAAGCGACUAAGCGUACACGGUGGAUGCCCUGGCAGUCAGAGGCGAUGAAGGACGUGCUAAUCUGCGAAAAGCGCCGGCGAGGUGAUAUGAACCUUUGACCCGGCGAUGUCCGAAUGGGGAAACCCAGUGCAAUUCGUUGCACUAUCGUUAACUGAAUACAUAGGUUAACGAGGCGAACCGGGGGAACUGAAACAUCUAAGUACCCCGAGGAAAAGAAAUCAACCGAGAUUCCCCCAGUAGCGGCGAGCGAACGGGGAGCAGCCCGGAGUCUGAAUCAG
rnacentral:rRNA from 1 species